GAACGGAACACCCUUGAAGGAGUUUUCGGACAACUGAGAGGACUGUUUAGUGGCGGACGGGUGAGUAACGCGUGAGUAACCUGCCUUGGAGUGGGGAAUAACACAAAGAAAUUUGUGCUAAUACCGCAUAAUGCAGCUGAGUCGCAUGGCUCUGGCUGCCAAAGAUUUAUCGCUCUGAGAUGGACUCGCGUCUGAUUAGCUAGUUGGCGGGGUAACGGCCCACCAAGGCGACGAUCAGUAGCCGGACUGAGAGGUUGGCCCGGCCACAUUGGGACUGAGACACGGCCCAGACUCCUACGGGAGGCAGCAGUGGGGAAUAUUGGGCAAUGGGCGCAAGCCUGACCCAGCAACGCCGCGUGAAGGAAGAAGGCUUUCGGGUUGUAAACUUCUUUUCUCAGGGACGAAGCAAGUGACGGUACCUGAGGAAUAAGCCACGGCUAACUACGUGCCAGCAGCCGCGGUAAUACGUAGGUGGCAAGCGUUAUCC
rnacentral:rRNA from 1 species